GCCCAAAUUGGUGGCAGAACAAGGGGGAGUUUGAGUGCAUUUAACACUACUUUUGGAUUUUAAUGUUCGCAUAAAUGUCACGCUUAAUGUGUUUGUCAUCGCAAAUCAACUGCGUUAUACUUAACACUUCAACCAGUAAAAUGGCUCUUUGGCUAGCUUUAGCUACAGCCUAUAUCAGUGAGCGUUAGUAUUCUAGCCAACUCCUGAAAAUACCACAACCAAAUGCAAUCUUUGCGACUGUUCAAUCAAUAAUAAACAAUUACUAGCGUAUGAGUAAUAACUUAAAUAUAGGCUGUUGAAUUGGCGCAGAUGGCGACGUCUUUCUUACUGCCACCAAGAGUCGCUCGCAUCUGUGCAUGACGUCAGUGUUAUGUACUGGGAAGUUGUCUAUAGUUCAGUGUGCUUUGUAAUUUGUCUCACCAUUGUAUAAUCUGUAUAUAAGUGUUGAUGUCUUUUUAUGUUGUCUUGUGCAUUUAUUUUGUUCGUAUUAUUUUAUAAUUUCUUAUUGGGGCGGCAGCGUAGCCUAGUGGUUAGAGCGUUGGACUAGUAACCGGAAGGUUGCGAGUUCAAACCCCCAAGCUGACAAGGUACAAAUCUGUCGUUCUGCCCCUGAACAGGCAGUUAACCACUGUUCCCAGGCCGUCAUUGAAAAUAAGAAUAUGUUCUUAACUGACUUGCCUGGUUAAAUAAAGGUAAAAUACAAAUAAAUUUAAAAAAUUGUAUUGUCAAGAAGGAACCAGAAAGUGUGCAUUUCGUUGGACGGUGUGUAUCCUGUACAUAAGAGGGUGAUAAAGUUGGUUCCUGAGAACCUUCUGAAGAAGAGGAAGGCCUAUCAACCCAUCAAAGCCACAAAACUGUGCAUUUCUAGAGAAGGGAAAGGUAUCCAAAGGCAAACCCUUGAAGUUUAAGCGCUUGGAGGACUUCCUGAAGGAUAGCCAUAGAAAGCAUUGCAAUGAAACCCGUAUCAGGAGAUCAGCUCACAGACCAGCUCCAGCCAUGCCCUCUGCAAAGAACAGACUGGCCUUCGCUGUCCGCAUCAGAGAGAUUGAAAGAGUCUCGGAGUUCAGAAGGUGGUUCAGAUGUUAUGACUAAGAAAGAUCUUCAGCGGUGCCUUUGUCAAAAUGAAUGAGACCUCUAUGGCCAUGUUGAAAAUGGUUGAGCCUUAUGUGGCAUUGGGGUUUCCCAACUUGAAGUCUGUGAGCUGAUCUUGAAAAGAGGACAGGCAAGCGAAAGGUCGCUCUCACAGACAACACACGCAUUGAGCAGCAUAUGGGUAA